AAACCAUGUGCUCCUGCGCAUUUGGACGAUGACGCGGGGCUGAGCCAGGGCUACCGCCUCUACGACCUGUUGUCGGGAGGUCAAUGGACCCCCGUCACCAGGCCACAUCCGAUGCCGCGGCCGCAUCCAUCAUCAUGAUGGUCGCCGGCCGCCCGCUGGCCCGCGCCGCUGUCGCCCCUCCAUGUGGAGACGCGUUCAGAUCUGCGCUUAGUUUGUAAGGUUAUAUUAAUAAAUAAUAAUAUAUAUAGAGAAAAAUGGAGUACCUCGUUAGAAUUGACUCUACAAGUGACAUCUGUACCGAAUCCUCGGCUGGAGAUGUGUUAUGUUAAAUUAGUUAGCGUGAUGAAACUGAUGUAACUCUAUGUAACGAUAUAAGUGGGGAUAUUGUAACACUGAUGCAAACUUAUUGUAAACUUAGACUAAUGUGUGUAAACCAAUUACUUUUCCGUUACUUUUGUACUUGCGAUAAUAGAUUAAGAUUCUAGUGUAAGUAGUGAUUAAGUUUAAGUAAUUCCUGUUAUCAGUCGGCUAAUCGCAGAAAAACAAGUAGUGAAGCGCAAUUUUUUGUUUGACGUAGGUAUAAGUGUUCAACUUUUUUGAUAUUUUAUUACAUUUUUUUCCUUUAA